rnacentral:rRNA from 1 species
GAUGAACGCUGGCGGCGUGCUUAACACAUGCAAGUCGAACGAAGCACUUAAGAAAGAUUCUUCGGAUGAAAGCUUUUGUGACUGAGUGGCGGACGGGUGAGUAACGCGUGGGUAACCUGCCUCACACAGGGGGAUAACAGUUGGAAACGACCGCUAAUACCGCAUAACCCGCUGGUACCGCAUGGUACUGACGGAAAAGAUUUAUCGGUGUGAGAUGGACCCGCGUCUGAUUAGCCAGUUGGCAGGGUAACGGCCUACCAAAGCGACGAUCAGUAGCCGGCCUGAGAGGGUGAACGGCCACAUUGGGACUGAGACACGGCCCAA